rnacentral:rRNA from 1 species
UUUGAACCCUAUAAAAGGUAACGCCUGCCCAGUGACUUUAUGUUUAACGGCCGCGGUACUCUGACCGUGCAAAGGUAGCGUAAUCACUUGUCUUUUAAAUAAGGACUAGUAUGAAUGGCAUCACGAGGACUUAGCUGUCUCCCUCACCCAAUCAGUGAAACUGAUCUCCCUGUGAAAAAGCAGGGAUAAACACAUAAGACGAGAAGACCCUAUGGAGCUUUAAACCAAAAACUACCUGUUUUAUCUACUAUACUAAAAAUAUUACCAAAAUAACUGAUCUAGUUUAAGUUUUCAGUUGGGGUGACUGUGGAGAAAAAUAAAUCCUCCACGCAGAUUUAAGCCUUGAGCAACCGCUCUACGCAUUAGCAAGCCUAACUGCAUUUGAUCCAAUAUUUUUGAUCAACGGACCAAGUUACCCUAGGGAUAACAGCGCAAUCCAUUUCAAGAGUCCAUAUCGACAAAUGGGUUUACGACCUCGAUGUUGGAUUAGGACACCCAAGUGGUGCAGCCGCUACUUAAGGUUCGUUUGUUC